rnacentral:tRNA from 1 species
GGGGCUGUGGUGUAGCACGGUUAACACACCUGUCUGUCACACAGGAGAUCGCGGGUUCAAGUCCCGUCAGCCCCG